GAUAAAGAAAGGAAUUGCACCCUUGUUAGCAGGACUACAGCCUGCCACCUACACUCGGCCACUUUACC
rnacentral:tRNA from 1 species